AUCGUCAUCUUGUUUACAGUUUAGGUCUUUUAGCGAAAACACCAAAAAUGCAGAGAGGCGAUCGAGAGAUUCAUAGGAAAAAACUCGGCUAUUUUCUUUAUUAGGUCGGAAUGAAAGUUGCAUGUUAAGAUGUGAUGAUUUGCACAGUUAAUGAAUGAAGAAAGAGACAAGUUUGCUGGUUCAGAGAUUUGAAGAAGAAGAAAGGAGCGGUUGAAGUUAGAUAAUUGAAUCAGAGCUAUAUACAGUACAAACAAUUAAAGGUUGAAGAUAAGGGAGGAAGAAGAAUGAAAGCUAUGAGUGGCGAUAAUAAACUUGUGUGCAGGCAAAUGAUGGGAUUGUGUUGCCGGAAAAGGCAUCACAGCAUCACACUACGUGACAACCAUUGAGGAUCAUGAGUACAAGGAAGACGUAUUUUGAUAAUGGAAGCCCUUGUAGACACGGUUGAUCAGAAUCAAAUCGUCACAAACUGUCAGCUGCUUAAGGUAGCUAGUAAAAUGAAACUUUUGUAUUUUUCUUGUUUCCAGCAUGUGACUAUCUUUGAUAAUUUGGUUUGUAAAUAAUGUAAGACGUAUUCUAAAUUUUAUUUAUCAUCUUGGAGUUGGCAUUUGAUUUGAAAACUGUAUAUGACUGAUGUGCAUUAUUUA